rnacentral:rRNA from 1 species
UACGUAGGGGGCAAGCGUUGUCCGGAUUUAUUGGGCGUAAAGAGCGUGUAGGCGGCCUGAAAGGUCAGCUGUGAAAACUCGAGGCUCAACCUCGAGACGUCGGUUGAAACCAUCUGGCUAGAGUCCGGAAGAGGAGUGUGGAAUUCCCGGUGUAGCGGUGAAAUGCGCAGAUAUCAGGAGGAACACCGGUGGCGAAGGCGGGUCUCUGGGCCGAUAUUGACGCUGAGGAGCGAAAGCGUGGGGAGCAAACAGG